UUAUUUUGGUAGUACAUAUUCUAAAAUUGUAAUGUUACAGAGAAGAUAAGCAGGCCCCUGAAUAAUGAUGGCACACAUAUUCAGUUUUCUUCCUUGGUAUU
rnacentral:snRNA from 1 species